CGGGGUGCCUUUACCCUUGCAGGUGGAACGACGAACCGGGCUUCGCGCCUUUGGCAGAGCCGCGAACGGGUGAGUAAAAGGGGGGGAGAGUACCCCGAUGACCGGGACAACCCGAGGAAUUUGAGGGGGGGAAGGAUGUUCUCGCUUCUCGUAAGGGAAUCGAGCAAAGAUAGCUUCGGCCUUCGCAUCGGGACGGCCCUUUUUCCAAAUAGAAAAGUUGGUGGGGUAAGAGCCUACCAAGGCAACGAUCGGUAGCUGGUCUGAGAGGAUGAGCAGCCACACUGGGCCUGAGACACGGCCCAGACUCCUACGGGAGGCAGCAGUGGGGAAUUUUCCGCAAUGGGCGAAAGCCUGACGCAGCGACGCCGCGUAUGGGAUGACGGCCUUCGGGUUGUAAACCCCU
rnacentral:rRNA from 1 species